UACAGAGGGUGCGAGCGUUGUCCGGAAUCACUGGGCGUAAAGGGCGCGUAGGCGCCUUCUAAGUCGAACGUGAAAUCCCCGGGCUCAACCCGGGAACUGCGUCCGAUACUGGAAGGCUUGAAUCCGGGAGAGGGAUGUGGAAUUCCAGGUGUAGCGGUGAAAUGCGUAGAUAUCUGGAGGAACACCGGUGGCGAAGGCGACAUCCUGGACCGGUAUUGACGCUGAGGCGCGAAAGCCAGGGGAGCAAACGGG
rnacentral:rRNA from 1 species